CAAACAUUUCCGUUAUCUGUUGGAGGUACAGAGAGAUUCCUUAUUACUGACCCGCUUGAAGUUGAUUUUUCUGGUUUGUGCUUUGUGAAAUGUUUGCUCGAGGUCCUAGCAGCAUUCAGUUGGGUUAAGGUCAUGACUUUAUGCCAACCAUUUUGUUACUACUUCAGCCAUUCGGUUAUGUGUAUCUCACAAUGUGACAUUCAUAUGGCUGAUGGACAACUAGACAAAGAUUUCCCGAG